UUUUUUUUUUUUUUUUUGAGAUGGUGUCUAGCUGUGUCUCCCAGGCUGGAGUACAGUGGAGGUUGCAGUGAGCCAAGAUCACACCAUUGCACUCCGGCCUGGGUGACAAGAGCGAAACUCCAUCUGAAAAAAACAAAAAAAAGAAUUAAUUGGAACUUUAAGCUAAAAUAUAGUCAUAAUAUCUUAAAUGAGACUCUUCUAAGGCCCUUUUUUCUCAUUUUCCUUUUUUGUUUUCCUUCUUUUUUUCCCCCUUUUAUAUAUUUAUGAAAUCUCUUGAGAUCGCAUUUUAAACUUUAGGAAACAAACCAAUAAUGUGAGUAGAAGACACAAGCCCAGAGAGACAUGGUGGAAUAAAAGCAAGAGAAUAAUAUAGAAUAAUAUAGUGAGUAGAUGUUGAGCAAGAAACUGAGGUUUUGAAGCUUAAAUCUCCUUCCCAACUACUAAAAUC
rnacentral:lncRNA from 10 species